CACGUUAGUGCGAGUUGCUGACGUGGUAGCAAAUCACGUCCUUGAGGGCGCGAUUUGCUGCCACGUCAGCAACUCACGCUGACGUGG
rfam:Gossypium hirsutum cultivar TM-1 chromosome 20, whole genome shotgun sequence